UGAAAAAAUAGUCUAAUGCAUAAUAAGAGAUAUGAUAUUUUUUGAACAGGCUAAUAWGCGCAAGAGAGUACAAAUUGAGUGCGCGGUUUGGCACCUCGAUGUCGGCUUAGCUCAUCCUCUUGAACGUAGGAAUCAUGAAGGGUUCGACUGUUCGUCGAUUAAAGAGCUACAUGAGUUGGGUUUAAUACGUCGUGAGACAGUAUGGUUUCUAUCUUCUAGAGGAAAUUUGAGUAAAAUAAAUAUAUCCCCUUUGUACGAAAGGAAUUGGGUAUGUUGACCUAUAGUUUACUUGUUGUUUAUUAAAUAAGUAUUUUAACUAAAGUACCAUAUUUUGGUAGGCAUAGCAAGAAAGCCACGUCAAUUAAAGAUAAGAGCUGAAAGCAUAUAAGCACGAAUCUUAUUUUAUUAUACUCAUAUAUACGUAUUAUAACAAUACGUGUUAGGCUUUAAUUGUAAGGACAUAUAUGUCUUCAGGUAUAAAGUACUAAUU
rnacentral:ncRNA from 1 species